CCUAGUGGCGGACGGGUGAGUAACACGUAGGUAACCUACCCUUGGGAUCGGAAUACUCCCGAGAAAUCGGGGACAAUACCGGGUAUCAUUUCAGGGCGAAAUUCCCUGUAAUAAAAGCUGCGAGCAAUCGUGGCGCCUAAGGAUGGGCCUGCGGCCUAUCAGCUUGUUGGUGAGGUAACGGCUUACCAAGGCUAUGACGGGUAACCGGACUGAGAGGUCGAUCGGUCACACUGGAACUGAGACACGGUCCAG
rnacentral:rRNA from 1 species